GUGUAGUUUGAAAGGAGAGCAAGUUAGCACUCCUCUAGCCAAGU
rnacentral:snRNA from 1 species